GAGUAGGGCGGGACACGUGGUAUCCUGUCUGAAUAUGGGGGGACCAUCCUCCAAGGCUAAAUACUCCUGACUGACCGAUAGUGAACCAGUACCGUGAGGGAAAGGCGAAAAGAACCCCGGCGAGGGGAGUGAAAAAGAACCUGAAACCGUGUACGUACAAGCAGUGGGAGCACGCUUAGGCGUGUGACUGCGUACCUUUUGUAUAAUGGGUCAGCGACUUAUAUUCUGUAGCAAGGUUAACCGAAUAGGGGAGCCGAAGGGAAACCGAGUCUUAACUGGGCGUUAAGUUGCAGGGUAUAGACCCGAAACCCGGUGAUCUAGCCAUGGGCAGGUUGAAGGUUGGGUAACACUAACUGGAGGACCGAACCGACUAAUGUUGAAAAAUUAGCGGAUGACUUGUGGCUGGGGGUGAAAGGCCAAUCAAACCGGGAGAUAGCUGGUUCUCCCCGAAAGCUAUUUAGGUAGCGCCUCGUGAAUUCAUCUCCGGGGGUAGAGCACUGUUUCGGCAAGGGGGUCAUCCCGACUUACCAACCCGAUGCAAACUGCGAAUACCGGAGAAUGUUAUCACGGGAGACACACGGCGGGUGCUAACGUCCGUCGUGAAGAGGGAAACAACCCAGACCGCCAGCUAAGGUCCCAAAGUCAUGGUUAAGUGGGAAACGAUGUGGGAAGGCCCAGACAGCCAGGAUGUUGGCUUAGAAGCAGCCAUCAUUUAAAGAAAGCGUAAUAGCUCACUGGUCGAGUCGGCCUGCGCGGAAGAUGUAACGGGGCUAAACCAUGCACCGAAGCUGCGGCAGCGACGCUUAUGCGUUGUUGGGUAGGGGAGCGUUCUGUAAGCCUGCGAAGGUGUGCUGUGAGGCAUGCUGGAGGUAUCAGAAGUGCGAAUGCUGACAUAAGUAACGAUAAAGCGGGUGAAAAGCCCGCUCGCCGGAAGACCAAGGGUUCCUGUCCAACGUUAAUCGGGGCAGGGUGAGUCGACCCCUAAGGCGANGCGAAGGUGUGCUGUGAGGCAUGCUGGAGGUAUCAGAAGUGCGAAUGCUGACAUAAGUAACGAUAAAGCGGGUGAAAAGCCCGCUCGCCGGAAGACCAAGGGUUCCUGUCCAACGUUAAUCGGGGCAGGGUGAGUCGACCCCUAAGGCGAGGCCGAAAGGCGUAGUCGAUGGGAAACAGGUUAAUAUUCCUGUACUUGGUGUUACUGCGAAGGGGGGACGGAGAAGGCUAUGUUGGCCGGGCGACGGUUGUCCCGGUUUAAGCGUGUAGGCUGGUUUUCCAGGCAAAUCCGGAAAAUCAAGGCUGAGGCGUGAUGACGAGGCACUACGGUGCUGAAGCAACAAAUGCCCUGCUUCCAGGAAAAGCCUCUAAGCAUCAGGUAACAUCAAAUCGUACCCCAAACCGACACAGGUGGUCAGGUAGAGAAUACCAAGGCGCUUGAGAGAACUCGGGUGAAGGAACUAGGCAAAAUGGUGCCGUAACUUCGGGAGAAGGCACGCUGAUAUGUAGGUGAAGUCCCUUGCGGAUGGAGCUGAAAUCAGUCGAAGAUACCAGCUGGCUGCAACUGUUUAUUAAAAACACAGCACUGUGCAAACACGAAAGUGGACGUAUACGGUGUGACGCCUGCCCGGUGCCGGAAGGUUAAUUGAUGGGGUCAGCGCAAGCGAAGCUCUUGAUCGAAGCCCCGGUAAACGGCGGCCGUAACUAUAACGGUCCUAAGGUAGCGAAAUUCCUUGUCGGGUAAGUUCCGACCUGCACGAAUGGCGUAAUGAUGGCCAGGCUGUCUCCACCCGAGACUCAGUGAAAUUGAACUCGCUGUGAAGAUGCAGUGUACCCGCGGCAAGACGGAAAGACCCCGUGAACCUUUACUAUAGCUUGACACUGAACAUUGAGCCUUGAUGUGUAGGAUAGGUGGGAGGCUUUGAAGUGUGGACGCCAGUCUGCAUGGAGCCGGCCUUGAAAUACCACCCUUUAAUGUUUGAUGUUCUAACGUGGACCCGUGAUCCGGGUUGCGGACAGUGUCUGGUGGGUAGUUUGACUGGGGCGGUCUCCUCCUAAAGAGUAACGGAGGAGCACGAAGGUUGGCUAAUCCUGGUCGGACAUCAGGAGGUUAGUGCAAUGGCAUAAGCCAGCUUGACUGCGAGCGUGACGGCGCGAGCAGGUGCGAAAGCAGGUCAUAGUGAUCCGGUGGUUCUGAAUGGAAGGGCCAUCGCUCAACGGAUAAA
rnacentral:rRNA from 1 species